CCUACGGGGUGCUGCAGUCGAGAAUCAUUCACAAUGGGGGAAACCCUGAUGGUGCGACGCCGCGUGGGGGAAUGAAGGUCUUCGGAUUGUAAACCCCUGUCAUGUGGGAGCAAAUUAAAAAGAUAGUACCACAAGAGGAAGAGACGGCUAACUCUGUGCCAGCAGCCGCGGUAAUACAGAGGUCUCAAGCGUUGUUCGGAAUCACUGGGCGUAAAGCGUGCGUAGGCUGUUUCGUAAGUCGUGUGUGAAAGGCGCGGGCCCAACCCGCGGACGGCACAUGAUACUGGCAGACUAGAGUAAUGGAGGGGGAACCGGAAUUCGCGGUGUAGCUGUGAAAUGCGUAGAUAUCGAGAGGAACACUCGUGGCGAAGGCGGGUUCCUGGACAUUAACUGACGCUGAGGCACGAAGGCCAGGGGAGCGAAAGGGAUUAGAUAUCCCAGUAGUC
rnacentral:rRNA from 1 species